rnacentral:rRNA from 1 species
GACGAACGCUGGCGGCGUGCUUAACACAUGCAAGUCGAACGGAAAGGCCCUGCUUUUGUGGGGUGCUCGAGUGGCGAACGGGUGAGUAACACGUGAGUAACCUGCCCUUGACUUUGGGAUAACUUCAGGAAACUGGGGCUAAUACCGGAUAGGAGCUCCUGCUGCAUGGUGGGGGUUGGAAAGUUUCGGCGGUUGGUGAUGGACUCGCGGCUUAUCAGCUUGUUGGUGGGGUAGUGGCUUACCAAGGCUUUGACGGGUAGCCGGCCUGAGAGGGUGACCGGCCACAUUGGGACUGAGAUACGGCCCAGACUCCUACGGGAGGCAGCAGUGGGGAAUAUUGCACAAUGGGCGGAAGCCUGAUGCAGCAACGCCGCGUGCGGGAUGACGGCCUUCGGGUUGUAAACCGCUUUCGCCUGUGACGAAGCGUAAGUGACGGUAAUGGGUAAAGAAGCACCGGCUAACUACGUG